AAACUGAAGAGUUUGAUCAUGGCUCAGAUUGAACGCUGGCGGCAGGCUUAACACAUGCAAGUCGAACGAUGACUAACUAGCUUGCUAGUUAUGAUUAGUGGCGGACGGGUGAGUAACAUUUAGGAAUCUGCCUAGUAGUGGGGGAUAGCUCGGGGAAACUCGAAUUAAUACCGCAUACGACCUACGGGUGAAAGGGGGCGCAAGCUCUUGCUAUUAGAUGAGCCUAAAUCAGAUUAGCUAGUUGGUGGGGUAAAGGCCUACCAAGGCGACGAUCUGUAACUGGUCUGAGAGGAUGAUCAGUCACACCGGAACUGAGACACGGUCCGGACUCCUACGGGAGGCAGCAGUGGGGAAUAUUGGACAAUGGGGGCAACCCUGAUCCAGCCAUGCCGCGUGUGUGAAGAAGGCCUUUUGGUUGUAAAGCACUUUAAGCAGGGAGGAGAGGCUAAUGGUUAAUACCCAUUAGAUUAGACGUUACCUGCAGAAUAAGCACCGGCUAACUCUGUGCCAGCAGCCGCGGUAAUACAGAGGGUGCGAGCGUUAAUCGGAAUUACUGGGCGUAAAGCGAGUGUAGGUGGCUCAUUAAGUCACAUGUGAAAUCCCCGGGCUUAACCUGGGAACUGCAUGUGAUACUGGUGGUGCUAGAAUAUGUGAGAGGGAAGUAGAAUUCCAGGUGUAGCGGUGAAAUGCGUAGAGAUCUGGAGGAAUACCGAUGGCGAAGGCAGCUUCCUGGCAUAAUAUUGACACUGAGAUUCGAAAGCGUGGGUAGCAAACAGGAUUAGAUACCCUGGUAGUCCACGCCGUAAACGAUGUCUACUAGCCGUUGGGGUCCUUGAGACUUUAGUGGCGCAGUUAACGCGAUAAGUAGACCGCCUGGGGAGUACGGCCGCAAGGUUAAAACUCAAAUGAAUUGACGGGGGCCCGCACAAGCGGUGGAGCAUGUGGUUUAAUUCGAUGCAACGCGAAGAACCUUACCUGGUCUUGACAUAGUGAGAAUCCUGCAGAGAUGCGGGAGUGCCUUCGGGAAUUCACAUACAGGUGCUGCAUGGCUGUCGUCAGCUCGUGUCGUGAGAUGUUGGGUUAAGUCCCGCAACGAGCGCAACCCUUUUCCUUAUUUGCCAGCGGGUUAAGCCGGGAACUUUAAGGAUACUGCCAGUGACAAACUGGAGGAAGGCGGGGACGACGUCAAGUCAUCAUGGCCCUUACGACCAGGGCUACACACGUGCUACAAUGGUAGGUACAGAGGGUUGCUACACAGCGAUGUGAUGCUAAUCUCAAAAAGCCUAUCGUAGUCCGGAUUGGAGUCUGCAACUCGACUCCAUGAAGUCGGAAUCGCUAGUAAUCGCAGAUCAGAAUGCUGCGGUGAAUACGUUCCCGGGCCUUGUACACACCGCCCGUCACACCAUGGGAGUCUAUUGCACCAGAAGUAGGUAGCCUAACGAAAGAGGGCGCUUACCACGGUGUGGUCGAUGACUGGGGUGAAGUCGUAACAAGGUAGCCGUAGGGGAACCUGCGGCUGGAUCACCUCCUUAA
rnacentral:rRNA from 1 species